rnacentral:rRNA from 1 species
UACGAAGGGGGCUAGCGUUGUUCGGAAUUACUGGGCGUAAAGCGCACGUAGGCGGAUUUGUAAGUCCGGUGUGAAAUCCCGGGGCUCAACCUCGGAACUGCCUUUGAUACUGCCAGUCUUGAGUCCGGAAGAGGUGAGUGGAAUUCCUAGUGUAGAGGUGAAAUUCGUAGAUAUUAGGAAGAACACCAGUAGCGAAGGCGGCUCACUGGUACGGUACUGACGCUGAGGUGCGAAAGCGUGGGGAGCAAACAGG